GUCUCAACGAGAGACUCGGUGAAAUUAUAGUACCUGUGAAGAUGCAGGUUACCCGCGACAGGACGGAAAGACCCCGUGGAGCUUUACUGCAACCUGAUAUGGAAUGUUUGUACCGCUUGUACAGGAUAGGUAGGAGCCGAAGAGACGUGUGCGCUAGCAUACGAGGAGGCAAUGGUGGGAUACUACCCUGGCUGUAUGACCAUUCUAACCCGCCACGCUUAGCGCGUGGGGAGACAGUGUCAGGUGGGCAGUUUGACUGGGGCGGUCGCCUCCUAAAGAGUAACGGAGGCGCCCAAAGGUUCCCUCAGAAUGGAUGGAAAUCAUUCGCAGAGUGUAAAGGCACAAGGGAGCUUGACUGCGAGACUGACAAGUCGAGCAGGGACGAAAGUCGGGCUUAGUGAUCCGGUGGUUCCGCAUGGAAGGGCCAUCGCUCAACGGAUAAAAGCUACCCCGGGGAUAACAGGCUUAUCUCCCCCAAGAG
rnacentral:rRNA from 1 species